GCCAUACCAGUGACCUUUUCUAUUUCCUAGUAAACAAACUUCAUGAGUACUUGCCGGAGUCUAGGGAUAAGAAUGCACUUCAAAAUCAAAGCCAAAGGGUUGAUGAGCUGGUGGCAUGCAUUGAAAUUAUACAGACCCUAGUAUUGAUGUUCAGAGAAACAGAAACUGAGUCCUCACGCCUGAACACAUUGGCAGCUAAGAAGGGAGCACUAUUUAAUCUCUUGGUAAUUUUAAUUAGUGAGCCUCAGAUUCCAAAAUCUUGUCCUGUGUUUGAUAUCCAGUUGGUGGCUGAUUCAGCUUUAGUCAGAAUGUCUUUUGACGCUGAGUUACAGAAGCUUAUUCUGGAGUAUACAAAUACCGCUACAGCACUUUUAUAUGAGAUACUUCUUGUCUUUCAGCAGGGAAAUCUCGGAUUGGGAUCCACAAAGUUUGCUAUUAGUUGGAUAAUGUCCUUUCUACAAAGCUGUCCUCCCAUUAUUACUUUUGUGGCCAGUAUUGUGAAACAAGUGGUGAGGGGGCUUUCAGCUUCAUUUCAGCUGCUAAGUCCCUGCCAAGCAGUUCUGUUGUACCAGCAAUUUUACAUCCUCAAGAGCUGUCUGCGGCACAGCAGGACUCUAGCUGAGUAUAUUAGGAAUAACUACAGAGAAGAAUUCAGGUACUUUAUUCACAUGCCAGCCUUGCAGAAAAGGCUCCCAUUGUGUUACCCCAUCACUCAACCUACCACUCAACUUUUUCAUGAAGUUCUGAAAUUGGUUGAAUAGAAACAAUGUACACAAUGUUAAUAAGAGUAUAAAGUGUUAAUCAAGAGUCAACUUGAUAUUCAUGAGAAACAUUGUUUGAUUUGUUUAAUAUUUGGCUAUCUCUGAGUCCUAUAAACAAAGAUUUUAAUUGAAUGGUCCAUCAAUACCUCUCUAUGAGAAGUUUAAAAUUUUUAAAAAUAAAUUUGCUUUAUUAUAA
rnacentral:sRNA from 1 species